AUUGAACGCUGGCGGCAGGCCUAACACAUGCAAGUCGAGCGAGCGGCGGACGGGUGAGUAAUGUAUGGGGACUGCCCGAUAGAGGGGGAUAACUACUGGAAACGGUGGCUAAUACCGCAUAAUAUCGUAUAACCCAUAUGUGAUUAGCUAAUAGCUGGGGUAAAGGCUAAACUCGGCGACGAUCUCUAGCUGGUCUUAGAGGAUGAUCAGCCACACGGUGACUGAGACACGGCCGAGACUCCUACGGAGGCAGCAGUGGUGAAUAUGGCACAAGGGGCGAAAGCCGGAUGCAGCCAUGUCGCGUGUAUGAAGAAGGCCUUAGGGUUGUAAAGUACUUUCAGCGGGGAGGCGUUACCCGCAGAAGAAGCACCGGCUAACUCCGUGCCAGCAGCCGCGGUAAUAC
rnacentral:rRNA from 1 species